rnacentral:misc_RNA from 1 species
GUGAAUCAUCGAAUCUUUGAACGCAUAUUGCGCCCCUUGGUAUUCCUUGGGGCACACCUGUUCGAGCGUCAUUUCACCAAUCAAGCCUCGCUUGGUGUUGGGCGAUGCGCAAGCCGCACGCCUCAAAUGCCCCGGCCGAGCAGUCUCUCUCCCGGCGUCGUGGAAACAUACCGCUAUGGAGGUGCGACCUGCGCGUGCCGCAACAUGACCUUUCUUCUCUAAGGUUGACCUCGGAUCAGGUGGGGAUACCCGCUGAACUUAAGCAUAUCAAUAAGCGGAGGA